rnacentral:rRNA from 1 species
CUUAAAUUGAAGAGUUUGAUCAUGGCUCAGAUUGAACGCUGGCGGCAGGCCUAACACAUGCAAGUCGAGCGGCAGCGGGAAGAAGCUUGCUUCUUUGCCGGCGAGCGGCGGACGGGUGAGUAAAGUCUGGGGAUCUGCCCGAUGGAGGGGGAUAACUACUGGAAACGGUAGCUAAUACCGCAUAACGUCGCAAGACCAAAGUGGGGGACCUUAGGGCCUCACACCAUCGGAUGAACCCAGAUGGGAUUAGCUAGUAGGCGGGGUAAGGGCCCACCUAGGCGACGAUCCCUAGCUGGUCUGAGAGGAUGACCAGCCACACUGGAACUGAGACACGGUCCAGACUCCUACGGGAGGCAGCAGUGGGGAAUAUUGCACAAUGGGGGAAACCC